rnacentral:rRNA from 1 species
UACGUAGGCAGCAAGCGUUGUUCGGAGUUACUGGGCGUAAAGGGUGUGUAGGCGGUUUUUUAAGUUGGUGUGAAAUCUCCCGGCUCAACUGGGAGGUGCGCCGAAUACUGAAAGACUAGAGUGCGGGAGAGGAAAGUGGAAAUUCCUGGUGUAGCGGUGAAAUGCGUAGAUAUCAGGAGGAACACCGGUGGUGUAGACGGCUUCUGGACCG